AUUGAACGCUGGCGGCAUGCUUUACACAUGCAAGUCGAACGGUAACAGGCCGCAAGGUGCUGACGAGUGGCGAACGGGUGAGUAAUGCAUCGGAACGUGCCCAGUCGUGGGGGAUAACGCAGCGAAAGCUGUGCUAAUACCGCAUACGAUCUAUGGAUGAAAGCGGGGGACCGUAAGGCCUCGCGCGAUUGGAGCGGCCGAUGUCAGAUUAGUUAGUUGGUGGGGUAAAGGCCCACCAAGGCGACGAUCUGUAGCUGGUCUGAGAGGACGACCAGCCACACUGGGACUGAGACACGGCCCAGACUCCUACGGGAGGCAGCAGUGGGGAAUUUUGGACAAUGGGCGCAAGCCUGAUCCAGCAAUGCCGCGUGCAGGAAGAAGGCCUUCGGGUUGUAAACUGCUUUUGUACGGAACGAAACGGUCUGGGUUAAUACCCUGGGCUAAUGACGGUACCGUAAGAAUAAGCACCGGCUAACUACGUGCCAGCCGCCGCCGUAAAAC
rnacentral:rRNA from 1 species